UACAGAGGUCUCAAGCGUUGUCCGGAAUCAUUGGGCGUAAAGCGCGCGUAGGCGGCCCUGUAAGUCCGCUGUGAAAGUCAAAGGCUCAACCUUUGAAAGCCGGUGGAUACUGCAGGGCUAGAGUCCGGAAGAGGCGAGUGGAAUUCCUGGUGUAGCGGUGGAAUGCGCAGAUAUCAGGAGGAACACCAAUAGCGAAGGCAGCUCGCUGGGACGGUACUGACGCUAAGGCGCGAAAGCGUGGGGAGCGAACAGG
rnacentral:rRNA from 1 species